GCGCCUAUAGCUCAGUCGGUUAGAGCAGUCGGCUCAUACCCGAUAGGUCCCAGGUUCGAGUCCUGGUGGGCGCACCA
rnacentral:tRNA from 1 species